GUGAGUCAAAGCCAACAACACAUUAAGAGUAACACUCUACAAAUCGGCGCGCAACAGUAAAAACAUCCUUUGUAUUACAAAAAUGUCGAAGUCCUUUCUACUCUUUCUACUGCUAACGGUGCUUAGCAGUGGUUUGGUGCUCGCAAGACCGCAGGCAGGCCCAACUACCGCAUCACCUUCAACCGGUUCAACGCUGAAUGGCGGCGCUAACGCCCAGAACAUACGCGGAGCUCCAUGCCGUGGUCCGCCAGCUGUUGGGCAGUACAAAUUCAACUAAUUCAAGAUGACGAACAAGGAAACGUAAUUGGACGGGAUUUGAGAAACAGCUGCUGGAAAUAUUGCUUAAAAACUGUAAACUAUAGAUAGCGAUCUCAAA